CAGCAGCCGCGGGAAUACGAAGGGUGCAAGCGUUAAUCGGAAUUACUGGGCGUAAAGCGUGCGUAGGCGGUGAGUUAAGUCUGCUGUGAAAUCCCCGGGCUCAACCUGGGAACUGCAUUGGUGACUGCAACGCUGGAGUGCGGCAGAGGGGGAUGGAACUCCGCGUGUAGCAGUGAAAUGCGUAGAUAUGCGGAGGAACACCGAUGGCGAAGGCAAUCCCCUGGGCCUGCACUGACGCUCAUGCACGAAAGCGUGGGGAGCAAACAGGAUUAGAGACCCCCGUAGUCCCUGUCUCUUAUAC
rnacentral:rRNA from 1 species